rnacentral:snoRNA from 1 species
GCAUGGCUUUGGAUGGAUGGCAGGUCCGAUCCCAGGGGCCUCUCAUAGUGCCCCAUACCAAAGCCUGGCUUGACCCCAUGGGCUUCAGGCACUCAAGCGGGUUGCACAGUG